UCCAUAUUUGGGCGCUCGGGUGACAUCUGAGAGCCUGUGUGUUCCAUAAAUGCUCUCAUGCAGCCUUUGCAAUGCAAUGGAAGGCUUUGCAAUGCAGAAUGGCAACAUUCAUCUUUCCCAGGAAUAGAGAUAAAUUGAACUGCCCUUAUGAAAAAGCACUGCAUAAAAUGCUCAAAUUUAUUGUCCUUUAAAACUUUUAACUGUUAUGGAGAGAGGUGGCUGGAAAAAUGGAGAGGCUGACAAAUUGGGAGAUGGAUCCCUUUUUUACAGAGAUGAAAAACAGUGGAAAACCCUCUGCCUGUGUUGGACUAGAGCCUGGGAGAGCUGUGUUCAAAUUCCCACUCAACCAUGAAAUUCACUUGCCAAUCUCAGG